AUUAAUUUGAGAGUUUGAUCCUGGCUCAGGACGAACGCUGGCGGCGUGCCUAAUACAUGCAAGUCGAACGAACUCUGGUAUUGAUUGGUGCUUGCAUCAUGAUUUACAUUUGAGUGAGUGGCGAACUGGUGAGUAACACGUGGGAAACCUGCCCAGAAGCGGGGGAUAACACCUGGAAACAGAUGCUAAUACCGCAUAACAACUUGGACCGCAUGGUCCGAGCUUGAAAGAUGGCUUCGGCUAUCACUUUUGGAUGGUCCCGCGGCGUAUUAGCUAGAUGGUGGGGUAACGGCUCACCAUGGCAAUGAUACGUAGCCGACCUGAGAGGGUAAUCGGCCACAUUGGGACUGAGACACGGCCCAAACUCCUACGGGAGGCAGCAGUAGGGAAUCUUCCACAAUGGACGAAAGUCUGAUGGAGCAACGCCGCGUGAGUGAAGAAGGGUUUCGGCUCGUAAAACUCUGUUGUUAAAGAAGAACAUAUCUGAGAGUAACUGUUCAGGUAUUGACGGUAUUUAACCAGAAAGCCACGGCUAACUACGUGCCAGCAGCCGCGGUAAUACGUAGGUGGCAAGCGUUGUCCGGAUUUAUUGGGCGUAAAGCGAGCGCAGGCGGUUUUUUAAGUCUGAUGUGAAAGCCUUCGGCUCAACCGAAGAAGUGCAUCGGAAACUAGGAAACUUGAGUGCAGAAGAGGACAGUGGAACUCCAUGUGUAGCGGUGAAAUGCGUAGAUAUAUGGAAGAACACCAGUGGCGAAGGCGGCUGUCUGGUCUGUAACUGACGCUGAGGCUCGAAAGUAUGGGUAGCAAACAGGAUUAGAUACCCUGGUAGUCCAUACCGUAAACGAUGAAUGCUAAGUGUUGGAGGGUUUCCGCCCUUCAGUGCUGCAGCUAACGCAUUAAGCAUUCCGCCUGGGGAGUACGGCCGCAAGGCUGAAACUCAAAGGAAUUGACGGGGGCCCGCACAAGCGGUGGAGCAUGUGGUUUAAUUCGAAGCUACGCGAAGAACCUUACCAGGUCUUGACAUACUAUGCAAAUCUAAGAGAUUAGACGUUCCCUUCGGGGACAUGGAUACAGGUGGUGCAUGGUUGUCGUCAGCUCGUGUCGUGAGAUGUUGGGUUAAGUCCCGCAACGAGCGCAACCCUUAUUAUCAGUUGCCAGCAUUAAGUUGGGCACUCUGGUGAGACUGCCGGUGACAAACCGGAGGAAGGUGGGGAUGACGUCAAAUCAUCAUGCCCCUUAUGACCUGGGCUACACACGUGCUACAAUGGAUGGUACAACGAGUUGCGAACUCGCGAGAGUAAGCUAAUCUCUUAAAGCCAUUCUCAGUUCGGAUUGUAGGCUGCAACUCGCCUACAUGAAGUCGGAAUCGCUAGUAAUCGCGGAUCAGCAUGCCGCGGUGAAUACGUUCCCGGGCCUUGUACACACCGCCCGUCACACCAUGAGAGUUUGUAACACCCAAAGUCGGUGGGGUAACCUUUUAGGAACCAGCCGCCUAAGGUGGGACAGAUGAUUAGGGUGAAGUCGUAACAAGGUAGCCGUAGGAGAACCUGCGGCUGGAUCACCUCCUUUCU
rnacentral:rRNA from 2 species